rnacentral:rRNA from 1 species
UGGGGAAUAUUGCACAAUGGGCGCAAGCCUGAUGCAGCCAUGCCGCGUGUAUGAAGAAGGCCUUCGGGUUGUAAAGUACUUUCAGCGAGGAGGAAGGCGUUGUGGUUAAUAACCGCAGCGAUUGACGUUACUCGCAGAAGAAGCACCGGCUAACUCCGUGCCAGCAGCCGCGGUAAUACGGAGGGUGCAAGCGUUCAUCGGAAUUACUGGGCGUAAAGCGCACGCAGGCGGUCUGUCAAGUCGGAUGUGAAAUCCCCGGGCUCAACCUGGGAACUGCAUCCGAAACUGGCAGGCUAGAGUCUUGUAGAGGGGGGUAGAAUUCCAGGUGUAGCGGUGAAAUGCGUAGAGAUCUGGAGGAAUACCGGUGGCGAAGGCGGCCCCCUGGACAAAGACUGACGCUCAGGUGCGAAAGCGUGGGGAGCAAACA